rnacentral:rRNA from 1 species
GUGCCAGCAGCCGCGGUAAUACGUAGGUGGCAAGCGUUGUCCGGAUUUAUUGGGUUUAAAGGGUGCGUAGGCGGUCCUAUAAGUCAGUGGUGAAGUACAGCCGCUUAACGGUUGAGGUGCCAUUGAUACUGCAGGACUUGAGUACAGACGAGGUAGGCGGAAUUGACGGUGUAGCGGUGAAAUGCAUAGAUAUCGUCAAGAACACCGAUAGCGAAGGCAGCUUACUAGACUGUAACUGACGCUGAGGCACGAAAGUGUGGGGAUCAAACAGGAUUAGAUACCCUGGUAGUCC